AGAGUUUGAUUAUGGCUCAGGAUGAACGCUGGCGGCGUGCUUAACACAUGCAAGUCGAACGAGGUCCAACCUUCGGGUGAAGACCGAGUGGCGAACGGGUGAGUAACACGUGGGGAACCUGCCCUUCUCUCUGGGAUAACCUCGGGAAACCGAAGCUAAUACCGGAUACUCCUUGCGGACCGCAUGGUCUGCUCGGGAAAGCUCCGGCGGAGAAGGAUGGCCCCGCGGCCCAUUAGCUUGUUGGUGGGGUAACGGCCCACCAAGGCGACGAUGGGUAGCCGAGCUGAGAGGCUGAUCGGCCACACUGGGACUGAGACACGGCCCAGACUCCUACGGGAGGCAGCAGUGGGGAAUCUUGCGCAAUGGGCGAAAGCCUGACGCAGUAACGCCGCGUGCGGGAUGAAGGCUCUCGGGUCGUAAACCGCUUUCAGCAGGGAUGAAAAUGACAGUACCUGCAGAAGAAGCCCCGGCUAAAUACGUGCCAGCAGCCGCGGUAAUAUGUAUGGGGCAAGCGUUAUCCGGAUUCAUUGGGCGUAAAGCGCGCGUAGGCGGCUUGUUAAGUCAGGCGUGAAAUCCGGGGGCUCAACCCGCGGCUUGCGUCUGAAACUGGCAGGCUUGAGUCUGGUAGAGGCAAGUGGAAUUCCUGGUGUAGCGGUGAAAUGCGCAGAUAUCAGGAGGAACACCAGUGGCGAAGGCGGCUUUCUGGGCCACGACUGACGCUGAGGCGCGAAAGCUAGGGGAGUGAACAGGAUUAGAUACCCUGGUAGUC
rnacentral:rRNA from 1 species